UAACUAGGACUCAGAGACCGGGUGUCU
rnacentral:piRNA from 1 species